GAAGAUCCUACAGAUAAAAAAAACAUGAAUCAAAAACAUAAAUCUAAAAUAAUCCAAAAGAAAAAUUCUACUAAAAUAGAUUUGGAUCUUAUAAGAGAUCAAUAUCUUAAUAUCAAAGAUUUUGAAUGUCUACCUUCAGGGUUAAAUACCCACUUGCACAAAUCAUCAAACAUUUUUAAAAUAAAGAAAGUCAAACGAAUAUUGCCCAAAUAAACAUUCAAACUACAAGUAUGACUUUGUUUGUUCUUAGAUUGCUUAGACAUGGACAAGCAUGCUAACUCGUGUACAUGUAUUUUCAAACUUCCAUCCUUGUCUAUAGAUUGGUUGGGAAUGGACAAAUAAAUUAACUCGUGUGCAGCUAUUUAUAAGUUUGUGUCCAA
rnacentral:lncRNA from 1 species